rnacentral:other from 1 species
GAUCCCUUCCUACAAUUCAAAACUAUAAUAUCAAAGAAACCCCCCAGGGAUCUG